AAUCAAUACAGACAACCCUGGACUGAUGUGUGAACCUGAUGUUGGCACUUGCACAAAACUGAAAGUUUCCAAGCUCUGCUCCCUCUCGGAGUUGCUUUCAUUCUAAUAAAAGCACGUUCGUGCACGCUUGGACAGAGGUGACUGUGUUUACUUGAGAGCGAUGGUAUGUGCACGCAGAACACAGUAAUCUCCAGCCCAUAGAUGGACUGUUAUUAAGCUUUUCCCCUUCCAGUCAAGCAGCUUGCAUGUCUCCAGAGCACUAGAUUCACAGCUGAACGAAAAACUUCUGGGAGUUUAUUGAUGAUUUGGUUGGGCAGUUUUUUGUGACGUAUGCAUCAAAACCUUUGCACUACAAGAGCAGACUUUAUAACAGGAUACCUUCUCUUUCCAGGGCAGGUGUCCUCAGAUUUUUAUUUUUAAACGCGGAGUACCGGCACCUCCCCCACAACUGUGCUACAAUGUCACCUUAAGAGCUGAGAAUAAAACGAUUCAGAUUUAUUCUUAAAAGCCAAAUCAGAUCAAGGAAUUAUAAGGAUACUGUCUGCCAUAAAUCUGGGUCAUGCAGUUUCACCAAUGAUGUAAUGUCCCACAAUCCAGUUGCCCUUCCUGAAAACCUUUUGUACUGGGGGAAGGGAGCAUAGGGAGAAUAUAGCUUCAGCAACUUAUUCGUAUUUUUAGAUGGAAAUGUUUGCUGAUCUGCUGUGCAUUCCAGCUCAGCCUUCUUGUAUAUCAGGUCUACUAAUCUAGUUAAACCUUCUAAAAGUAGCUAUAUAAAAUGCUAAAGAAACUAGGUGUCCGACGGCAAAACAUCCGGCUAAAAAGAGGCUAAAUUGGGACUACGUAGGGACUGUUUUUCUAUCAAAUAUCCAUUUUUUUUUCGAAGCCACAGAUCUGAAAAAAGAAAGUGUCAGGUUUGAAAGCAGAGACUGCUGCAGUGCUCCAGUUACCGUGCAGCAGUGAUGUCCUGGGUGCUGAUGAGGGAAAGAACACUUUUUCCUGAGUAACAUCAUCCGGUUGCACAAACAGAAGGCCUAUCAGCACAGCUGGGACGCACACAGAAGAGGGAGGCAGCUUGCAUGGGAUGACCAAGCACAACCACUGCUACCUGAUCCGCAGCAUCCACAGAAUUCAGGGAUUUAAGUGCACAUUUCUCUGACGCAAUGGAAAAGGGAGAAGGGGC